rnacentral:rRNA from 1 species
GAUGAACGCUGGCGGCGUGCCUAAUACAUGCAAGUCGAGCGAACAGACGAGGAGCUUGCUCCUCUGACGUUAGCGGCGGACGGGUGAGUAACACGUGGAUAACCUACUUAUAAGACUGGGAUAACUUCGGGAAACCGGAGCUAAUACCGGAUAAUAUAUUGAACCGCAUGGUUCAAUAGUGAAAGACGGUUUUGCUGUCACUUAUAGAUGGAUCCGCGCCGCAUUAGCUAGUUGGUAAGGUAACGGCUUACCAAGGCAACGAUGCGUAGCCGACCUGAGAGGGUGAUCGGCCACACUGGAACUGAGACACGGUCCAGACUCCUACGGGAGGCAGCAGUAGGGAAUCUUCCGCAAUGGGCGAAAGCCUGACGGAGCAACGCCGCGUGAGUGAUGAAGGUCUUCGGAUCGUAAAACUCUGUUAUUAGGGAAGAACAAAUGUGUAAGUAACUAUGCACGUCUUGACGGUACCUAAUCAGAAAGCCACGGCUAGCUACGUG